CUCCCUUCCCAUUGUGCACUACUGCUUUUGACAGUUUGUUCUUCCUCCAAUGUGUGGAGUGUUUUCUUUUGACUGAAGGGCGGCAAGCUGGUUACUAAGCUGUUUUAGUUUUGUGGCUGAAAAUUUUGGAUAUGAAAAGGUACCUGAGGAAAACUACAGAAAGUCCUGGGGCUACUCCUAGAUGCGUGUGGCAGCAUCCAUGGAGCCCUUUUUGUUUGCUGCCUGUUCGGUUCUGAUUGCUGCUUUUUAAAAUCUGCAGUUUGUUGAAUCUGCAGGUAUAAAACCAACGGAUAUAGAGGGCUGGCUGUAUCAGAAACUUAACUAACUGCUUAAAGCAAUUCUUUGGAUACAGACAAGAUCAGUGAUGCUCUAAGUCUGGCCAAGUGUUACUGAAAACCAGGCUUAAAGCCAGAUUGGACAAAUCCAAGUAUACUUUGCAAUCCUAACCCAGAAGACCACCAAGAAAGUUAUGUGACUAUCUUGAAGCCUUCAACCCUAUGAGCCAUGGAGGAAAGCAUUGAGAAAAUAAUUAUUCCAGAAGGCUUAUCUGGCUUCAUUUUGACCUAUUGAUAAGAGAAGCAAAGAAACCAUGGAAAAACUAAAGGUCCAGGCAAGUCUCCAGUUUCUGAAUAAGUCCUUGGGUACAUCUAUUUAUUCUCUGUAAUUGGAUAACACAAUCCUUAUUGAAGUGUUAAGAGUUGACAAUUUAAUAUUCUAAAAGCAGAACUAGAUUAAGAAGAAGAACCUGGGUUCAUUUCCAACUGAAUAUAUUUAUCUAAUUUUUUCGAAAGUUUACCUCUGCUACUUGGCUUUUAUGGAAGACCUAAAUUAGCACAGGCUGCCCUCCUUGUCCAUGAGUUCCACAUUUGCAGAUUCAAUGAAGCACAGAUAGAAAAUAUUUGAAAAAAAAACAAGUUCCAGCAAAUUCCAAAAAGCAAAAUUUGAAUUGGCUGUGUGGCAACUAUUUACAUAGUUUUUAUGUUGUAUUAGGUAUAAUAAAUAAUCUAAAGAGAAUUUAAAGUGUGAGGGAGGAUGCAUAUAGGAUAUAUUUCAAACACCAUAGCAUUUUAUAUAAUGGACCUGACCAUUCAUGGAUUUUGGUAUUGGGGAGGUUGGUCCUGAAACCAAUUGCCAAUGGAUACUAGGAACGACUGUACUUGUUUUCACUAAUUAGAAGAAAUAUGAAGAGGAUAUGCACUUUUACAAAAAAGAAAAAAGCGAAAAGCAAAAAUAGUGUUCAGAAUUUGUUUUGCAGAGAGUGGGGCCAUUAUAGAGGCAGCACAUACCCUGGGCAAUAAGAAUGGCACCGCCACGCUCCUUCCCCAGAACUCUUCAGCAUCUUAGCUCCAAGCAGCCAUAGCUUUGAACUGCAUCUGUGGGAAUCUGUGCUUUAUCUUAAUUUAUUUUGUGCAUUUGUUGGCUCAAAAUAUUUUGUGUAUCCUAAGGUAAAUGCUCCUUUGUUUUAAGCCAUUUCAGCUUACAAAACGUUUCCCAAGAAUGCUCUAUUUUCGAAUAGCAUGGGAAGACUGUUCUUAAAUUAAGCAUUAAGUCAUGGGAAUACUUAAGUGAAGAAAUAUUGUUUUUUUCCACCCCAAAAAGAGAAGUAACCCCACAUAAUGUUAUGAAAUGAUAGGUUUCCAGCAUAACAUAUUGAAAACACUCAGAACAUUUUAUUAUGAUUAUACCUUCUGAGGAUAGUUUCUAUUAAUAAAAAAUUUUGAGCAACUUAGCUAAUGAAAUUAUUUAUGAUCAAAUCUUUGCUCCAUUAUGGGUUCUUCAGGCAUAUAUAUUUGAGCAGGAUAAGUCUUCAAGGGCUAUCUGCACAGAUAAGGGAAAUCUCACUUGACUGCACAAAGAAAUGCUCUUUGUAUGCAUAAGAACAGUAAUGUUUCUUUGCGUCCCUGCAAAUGUCCUGUAAUGUCUGUUAUGCAGUUGCAGACAUUUGCUGCUCUGGGCACUUAAAAAAGAAUUCAAAUAUAAAAACCAUCAUAAGGAGAGAAAUGCUAUUUUACUGCUUAAGUAAACUUAACAGUAUGCUGAAUCAAUUCUCUUUUUGGAAGCCAUUCUGGUAUAAUUGUGUUGCCCUGGAUUUGGUAUAUAUUGGCAUAUUGCAAUCCUGGCUUUGCAUUAGAAAAAAAAUGUGAAUGUUUACUGAUUUCAGCAUUCCUUUUUGUGUAAAGAUGAGUGAAGCAAUUAUCUUUGGCUCUAUCCAAGUUAAAAAAAAAAAAAGAGGUGUUCCAUUUUCCAUUUAUCAUGAUAAACAGAUCAUAUGAGUAAUACAAAACUAGGAAUAAAUAUGAGAGAAAAAACAUUCUCUGGGAGCCACCAGUACUUACUAAAUUUUUGUAAGAGAAAAAAAGUCAAGGAAACAAUUUGCUGUAAUAAAAAUAAUAAUAAACAUUUACUAAAUAUGAA